GACAGAGGGUGCAACCGUUGUUCGGAAUUACUGGGCGUAAAGCGCGUGUAGGCUGCUCGGAAAGUCGGAUGUGAAAGCCCUGGGCUUAACCCAGGAAGUGCACUCGAAACUCCCGAGCUCGAGUCCUGGAGAGGAAGGCGGAAUUCUCGGUGUAGAGGUGAAAUUCGUAGAUAUCGAGAGGAACAUCGGUGGCGAAGGCGGCCUUCUGGACAGUGACUGACGCUGAGACGCGAAAGCGUGGGGAGCAAACAGG
rnacentral:rRNA from 1 species